rnacentral:rRNA from 1 species
GACGAACGCUGGCGGCGUGCCUAACACAUGCAAGUCGAACGAAGAAUGUUUUUCGGAAUAUUCUUAGUGGCGGACGGGUGAGUAACGCGUGAACAAUCUGCCCCGUACAAAGGGAUAGCCUCGGGAAACCGGGAUUAAAACCAUAUAACGCUUUAGUACCGCAUGGUAAUAAAGUCAAAUCGAUUAAGAGGUAUGGGAUGAGUUCGCGUCUGAUUAGCUAGUUGGUGAGGUAAGGGCUCACCAAGGCGACGAUCAGUAGCCGGCCUGAGAGGGUGAACGGCCACACUGGAACUGAGACACGGUCCAGACUCCUACGGGAGGCAGCAGUGGGGAAUAUUGCACAAUGGAGGGAACUCUGAUGCAGCGACGCCGCGUGAGUGAAGAAGGUCUUCGGAUCGUAAAACUCUGUCCUUGGUGAAGAAAAGGACGGUACCUUAGGAGGAAGCCCCGGCUAACUACGUG